UGUCCAGUAACUCAUAUCCCUACCUCCUCGCGGUGUCACCUGGAGUGCGACUAACCAUAGGAAAGAUCGAGUAACUAACCUUGGUGGGACCUUGGUCGUAUACUGACAGGGAAGG
rnacentral:ribozyme from 1 species